rnacentral:lncRNA from 1 species
ACAUAUAGAAGUUUGGUGAAUAAGUGAACGAACAUUUAAUAUAUGCUUUUAUAUCUUUCUUCUUCUUCUCAAAUUCCAGAUUCCUCAUCGUCAUCUCAAAUGAAUCAGAAGACAAAGAUCUGAUGUCGGUGGGAUUUCAACACUUAGUUACUCAUUAUCUUUGACUUGAAUUGCUUCCAAAUUAGAGUUGAUUUUGAAAAUAUACAAGCUUUGUGUGUACACCCAAGGAUAAAUUGAUGGUACAACAAUUAGAUUAUGAGUGAAUCUUGCCUAAUCUAGCUUCACAAAGACUACAAGAUAACACGGGAACAUUGAUUGUCAAAU